UGGGGAAUUUUGGACAAUGGGCGCAAGCCUGAUCCAGCCAUGCCGCGUGGAUGAUGAGGGCCUUAGGGUUGUAAAAUCCUUUCGCCGAGGACGAUAAUGACGGUACUCGGAGAAGAAGCUCCGGCUAACUUCGUGCCAGCAGCCGCGGUAAUACGAAGGGGGCUAGCGUUGUUCGGAUUUACUGGGCGUAAAGCGCAUGUAGGCGGGCCGUUAAGUUAGGGGUGAAAUCCCGAGGCUCAACCUCGGAACUGCCUCUAAAACUGGCGGCCUGGACCUAAGUAGAGGCAAGUGGAAUUGCGAGUGUAGAGGUGAAAUUCGUAGAUAUUCGCAGGAACACCAGUGGCGAAGGCGACUUGCUGGACUUAUGGUGACGCUGAGAUACGAAAGCGUGGGGAGCAAACAGGAUUAGAUACCCCGGUAGUCCCUGAGCGGGCUGGCAAGGCGCAU
rnacentral:rRNA from 1 species